rnacentral:tRNA from 1 species
GCGGAAAUAGCUUAAUGGUAGAGCAUAGCCUUGCCAAGGCUGAGGCCCACGGAGCGGUCGUCAAACUUUUCACG